UUGCGAUUGUGAUUUCAUUGGGUUGAAUAUGAUUUAGUUCAGCUGUUUCACGAGUCGUGAAAUAAAUGGAUUUUCAUACCCGACGCUAAGUAUUUUUGUGUUAAUUAAUAGAAGAGAACAGAAAGUGAAAUGCUUUUGUAUUGACAACGUUUGUAGUUUUUUGGGUUUUGCGAGUUUACAUUAAUCUUCAUUGGUGGUGGUGUAUAACAGGUACAUGCAUCUGCAUGUUUACAGAAUUAUAUACCCACUAAAGAGAUGAUUCAUUUUCAGAUGGUGGAUGCACUUACAGAUCAAAGAAAACACUAACAUGAAGAGGGAGGAGAAGAAACAAGAGUGCUAUAUUAUAUUCUCAUACUGCUUUUUGUUUUUUUUUU
rnacentral:lncRNA from 1 species